rnacentral:tRNA from 1 species
GCCCUGCGCUGGGCCACCGAGGGCUCGGCCCGCUGCCUCGGGCGCGACGACAUCGGCCGGAUCGCGCCGGGCCGCGAGGCG